rnacentral:rRNA from 1 species
UACGGAGGAUCCGAGCGUUAUCCGGAUUUAUUGGGUUUAAAGGGUGCGUAGGCGGUUUGCUAAGCGGGAGGUGAAAUGCCGGCGCUCACCGUCGGAAGUGCCUCCCGAACUGGUGGACUUGAAUGACUCUGCCGUGGGAGGAAUGUGUAGUGUAGCGGUGAAAUGCUUAGAGAUUACACAGAACACCGAUUGCGAAGGCAUCUCACGAAGGGUUGAUUGACGCUGAGGCACGAAAGCGUGGGGAUCAAACAGGAUUAGAUACCCUGGUAGUCCACGCAGUAAACGAUGAUGGCUAACCGCUGGGCUUAUCAGUUCAGUGGCCAAGCGAAAGCGAUAAGCCAUCCACCUGGGGAGUACGACCGCAAGGUUGAAACUCAAAUGAAUUGACGGGG